rnacentral:rRNA from 1 species
GACGAACCGUCCAAACGUUAUUCGGAAUCACUGGGCUUACAGAGGUCGUAGGCGGUCUGGAAAGUUGGGUGUGAAAUCCCUCGGCCUAACCGAGGAACUGCGCUUGAAACUACCAGACUCGAGGGAGAUAGAGGAAAGCGGAACUGAUGGUGGAGCGGUGAAAUGCGUUGAUAUCAUCAGGAACACCGGUGGCGAAGGCGGCUUUCUGGGUCUUACCUGACGCUGAGGAACGAAAGCCAGGGGAGCGAACGGG